rnacentral:lncRNA from 1 species
CUAUUUUAUCACUCAGCUUUGGCUUUGAGUAAAUUUGCAUACCAUACCCAUUUGAGGGAGCUGUGUUUCUCCUGAAACACACAAACCAAAAGGUAAUUUACACUGGCUGAAAUGUCUUUGUGCCAGUCAUCCAAUGAGUAGGGCUGAGAAGGCACUCUUGGGAAAUUUUAUUUAUGCGAGAGACAGGUGAAGAGCCUGCAGGCUGUAACCUAAUUUAGUCAGACCCUUCUGGUAGAAAAAAACAGUGACCUAUAUAUCAGUAAUUUUCUUGCAAUAUCUAGUGAAAUCAGGUCACUAUUUCCAGCCCUAACUUUGUUCCCUGGUCUCUUAACAUUUAGGUAUGUCACAAAUUUCCUUUUGAUAAGGUUGAUUAGUAAGUUUGUAGGAAAAGCAAAAGUUUAAGUCAAAAUCCACAGGAAUUUUUGGAAAGUGUCACUCCAUAAAGUAUCCACGUAUGUCCCAGCUAGGAGACAGAAGAAAACACAGGAAGAAGGAAAAGAUCCAAAAUGGGAUCCAAGCCAGGGGGCCAAAGAAAUUUCUCCACUUCUCAACAUUGCUGAGAUCUAGCCUGGGGUGUGGAAUUUGUGGCCAGAAACCUUCCUGUCAAUUCAAGCAGGUGAAUCCUGCCAGAGCAGAGGCAGCUCGAGGCACAAACCAGCUGGAUAAAAACGUUUGCUUGGACUCUUGUACAGGACAUUAAAUAGAAAACAGAAUACAUUUGUCCAGAUUUGAGAACUUGAUAUGGACAUGAG